ensembl:snRNA U2 U2 spliceosomal RNA
AUCACUGCACAUAGUUGCACAUUUCUUUUUUCUUGUGAUGAGACCCAUUAUUCCUGAGAAAUUAAAUGGAUUUUUGGAACUAGGGGUUGGAAUAGGAGCUUGCUCUGUCCACUUCAUGCAUCAACCUGGUAUUGCAGUACUUCCAGGAAUGGUGCACCUCCU